UACGGGGGGGGCAAGCGUUGUUCGGAAUUACUGGGCGUAAAGGGCGCGUAGGCGGCCCUCUAAGUCAGACGUGAAAUCCCACGGCUCCAACCGUGGAACUGCGUCUGAUACUGGAGGGCUUGAAUCCGGGAGAGGGAUGUGGAAUUCCAGGUGUAGCGGUGAAAGUGCGUGAGAUAUCUGGAGGAACACCGGUGGCGAAGGCGGCGAUC
rnacentral:rRNA from 1 species